rnacentral:SRP_RNA from 1 species
GCCGGGUGCGGUGGCGCGUGCCUAUAGUCCUAGCUACUUGGGAGGCUGAGGCCGGAGGAUCGCUUGAGCCCAGGAGUUCUGUGCUGUAGUGCGCUAUGCCGAUUGGGUGUCCGCACUAAGUUCGGCAUCAAUAUAGUGACCUCCCGGGAGCCGGGGACCACCAUAUUGCCUAAGGAGGGGUGAAACGGCCCAGGUCGGAAACGGAGCAGGUCAAAACUCCCGUGUUGAUCAGUAGUGGGAUCCCGCCUGUGAAUAGCCACUGCACUCCAGCCUGGGCAACAUAGUGAGACCCCGUCUGU